rnacentral:rRNA from 1 species
UACGUAGGCAGCGAGCGUUGUUCGGAAUCACUGGGCGUAAAGGGUGCGUAGGCGGGUCUUUAAGUCAGGGGUGAAAUCCUGGAGCUCAACUCCAGAACUGCCCUUUGAUACUGAGAAGCUUGAGUCCGGGAGAGUGAGUGGAACUGCGAGUGUAGAGGUGAAAUUCGUAGAUAUUCGCAAGAACACCGGUGGCGAAGGCGGCCAACUGGACCAUUACUGACGCUGAGGCGC